UGCCCCCUCGUCUAAUGGCAAGACAUGCGGCUCUGGACCGUAGUAUCGGGGUUCGAAUCCCNGGGGGGCAGCCA
rnacentral:tRNA from 1 species